CCAGGCACGUUCUAGGGCGUCUCCCUUGCAUUAAUGUAUUGAAUCUUCACGCUGAUGAAAUCGGCGCUAUUGUUGUCCCCACCUGGGAGAGGAGGACACGAGGUUCAGAGAUGAAGUAAUAAAAUUGCCUGGGCUCUUCAUCCAGCCAGCAAGGGCCAAAUGGUACUUUGGUGCCCCAAGCCCCCAUGUCACUGUUCACUCUGAAUGUUCCCACUAGGGAAUUUCACUCCCUAAUGCCCAGGCUGAUGGACUAAAACAUCUUUUGAUUUAAAAAAAGAGAGAGAGAGAGAGAGACCAAAUAUACAAUGGUGUUCCCAUGGGUGCGCUCUUGGCUCCUGAAAGGUAAAUGGCUCCAAGUAUUUGCAAGACUUUCUAAACAAUGUCCUUUAAUUACUGUGGCUCUAGACUCUUCAGAUGCUCAAGACCCCUGCUUGUUGUGUUCCCUUGUGACAGUAAGCUCUCAUGCAGCUCACCUGCUGCUCACAGGUGAAAAGAAGACCCUCCCAGACUAUCUCCGAGAGCCAGGCAGGCAGAGCCUGGCAACCUGCGUGCCUGCCUCAAGACAAAAAGAGUCAGGAGACUAAACACAGUCAAACGCAAACCCAGCCCUCCUGAUUAGAGUCCUACACCCACUGUCACCUCCCCAACUACCCCUACCCCAAUGCUCAGGACCCCCAGUUCGCUGAUGCCAGAGUGUGCACUCAGUAUGGCCACAGCAUACCUUCCUUCACUCAUCUGCUCAACACAGGCUUAUUUUAUGUGUCCUUGAUGUAUAGUUGAUUUACAAUGUGUUAGUUUCAGGCAUACAGCAAAGCGAUUCCAGCCUUUAUAUCUUAUUAUGUGUGUGUGUAUGUGUGUGUGUGUAUCUUUUCCACAUUUUUUUCUCUUAUAGGUUAUUACAAUAUAUCGAGUACAGUUCCCUGGUCUAUACAGUAGGUCCUUGUUGCUUAUCUAUUUUUAUUUAUUUAUUUAUUUAUUUUUGUCUUUUUGCCAUUUCUUGGGCCGCUCCUGCGGCAUAUGGAGGUUCCCAGGCUAGGGGUCCAAUCAGAGCUGUAGCCGCCGGCCUACACCAGAGCCACAGCAACGUGGGAUCCAAGCUGAAUCUUCGACUCACACCACAGCUCACGGCAAUGCCAGAUCAUUAACCCACUGAGCAAAGGGCCAGGGAUCGAAUCCAUAACCUCAUGGUUCCUAGUCGGAUUUGUUAACCACUGAGCCACAACGGGAAUGCCUCUAUUUUAUGAAUAGUAGUUGUGUAUAUGUUAAUCUUGAAUUCCUAAUUUAUCUCCCCCUUUCCCCCUUUUGUAACCACAAGUUUGUUUUCUGUCUGUGAGUCUAUUUCUGUUUUGUAAAUAAGUCCAUUUGUAUAAUUUUUUUAGAUUCCACAUAUAAGUGAUAUCAUAUAUUUGUCUUUCUCUGUCUGACUUACUACACUUCAGAAUGAUAAUCUCUAGGUCCAUCCAUAUUGCUGCAAAUGGCAUUGUUUUUCUUUUUUAUGGCUGAGUAAUAUUCCAUUGUAUAUAUUACCACAUCUUCUGUAUCCAUUCCUCUGUCAAUGGACAUUUAUGUUGCUUCCAUGUCUUGGCUAUUGUAAAUAGUGCUGCAGGGGUUCCUGUUGUGGCUCAGUGGGUUAAGAACCUGACAUGGCAUCUGUGUGGAUGCAGGUUCGAUCCCUGGCCUCACUCAGCAGGUUAAGGAUCCAGCAUUGCCACAAGCUGUGGCGUAGGUCACAGAUGAAGUUUGGAUCCAGUGUUGCUGUGGCUGUGGCAUAGGCCUGCAGCUGCAGCUCUGUUUUGAUCCCUAGCCUGGGAACUUCCACAUGCUACAGGACAGGCCAUUUAAUAAUAAUAAUAAUAAUAAUAAUAAUCAGUGAACUGACGGUUUCUUUAAAAACUAAAAGUAGAGCUACCAUAUAAUCCUUCAAUUCUACUUCUGGGCUUAUGUCUGGACCCCACAUGCUUUUUUAUGCGGUAGAUGCUGAUGUUUUACAGAUAAAGCACCCAGACCCUGCCCUUUCUGACGUUACAGUUUGGUGAUGAGAAAGACGCAUUGAUUGACAGGUAAUACAAAGUGAAGGGGAGAGUUCUUUAAUUCUCACAUUAUACUAGCACCAGGCCAGGCUUUAUAGGAUAAUCUCAUUUAUUUUCUUUUCUUUUAUUUAUUUUCUUUUUGUCUUUUUAGAGCCCCGCCGGCAGCAUAUGGAGGUUCCCAGGCUAGGGGUUCAAUCAGUGCUGUAGCUGAAGGCCUGUGCCAUAGCCACAGAAACACCAGAUCUGAGCUGCGUCUGAGACCUACACCACAGCUCAUGGCAACGCUGGAUCCUUAACGCACUGAGCCAGGCCAGGGAUGGAACCUUCGUCCUCAUGGACGCUAGAUAGAUUCGCUGGUGCUGAGCCAAGACGGGAACUCCAGAUGAACUCAUUUAAUUCUUGCACAAUGAUGAGGUGGAUACCAAUACUAUCUUCAUUUUAUACACGCAAAAAAAGAAAUAAAAGAGGCUCCAGAAAGAUGAGCAUCUUGCCCCAGACAAUGAAGCUAGAAGUGGUGGAGAUAAGAGAAGAUGUCAUCUGGCACCCGAGUCUGCGUUAAGGGAUCUCUUACAGGCAUCUUAAAAAAAAAAAAUUUAAAAACCAUUCUCAGAGUUCCCGCUGUGGUGCAGUGGGUUAAGGAUCCAGCAUUGCCACAGCUGUGGCAUAAGUCAGAGUUGCGGCUCAGAUUCCACCCCUGAGUUCAGUUCCUGGCCAGAGAACUUCCAUGAAAAGAUUUUUUUAUUCUUUAACCCCAAAUAGAUUUAUUUAUUUAGUCUUCCGCAUUUACUUAUAUUAGCAUGGACUCAGAUAAUUAUCUCAUACUUGGGUUUAUAAUCCAAUACUUCCUUGUUUAUUUUGUUGUUCAAAUUGUUCCUUCCAGGAGUUCCCUUCAUGGCUCAGUGGUUAACACACCUGACUAGGUUAAGGAUCCAGCGUUGCUAUGAGCUGUAGUGUAGGUUGCAGACAAGGCUCAGAUCUGGCGUUGCUGUGGCUGUGACAUAGGCUGGCAGCUGCAGCUCCAAUUCAACCCCUAGCCUGGGAACUUCCAUAUGCCACGGGUGACACCCUAAAAGGCAAAAAACAAUAAUAAUAAAUUUUAAAAACUGUUCCUUCCAGCUUUGGCCAUUGGGAAAUCCUGCAGGUGGCUCAUGUACCCUUGGAUGUAUCCCUGUCAUUGUAUUGUUUUGUUUAUUCCAGCACUGUCUUACUCUCCAGCAUUAUAAGAUGCUUCAAUCACAUCUAUAUUUAGAAACGAAAUUAACACUAUUGGAACAUGUGAACUGUAAGCCGCCAUGUGUAAACUAACACAGAUUCGCGGCUACACACUGAGUUUCCACAGUACUUUAUUUCUGUAUUUCCGCCUUCCUUUUGGAAGGAGUCAGCAGUCCUCUGAAUGGAUCACAAUCCUAUGAUCUCAGAUUUGAACCCUUAACCUAAUAGGGCCCUGAUUCUCACCCCUCCCCCCCACCGCCACAGCACUCACAGCAUAUGGAAGUUCCCAGGCUAGGGGUUGAAUCAGAGCUACACCUGCCAUGCCAGUCUACAUCACAGCCACACCAACUUGGGAUUUGAGCCAUGUCUGCGGCCUAUAGCACAGCUCACAGCAACGCCAGAUACCUGACCCACUGAGCAAGGUCAGGGAUCGAACCUGCAUCCUCAUGGAUACUAGUCGGGUUCAUUUCCACUGCGCCACAGUGGGAACUCCCAGAGGGGCCUGAUUUACAAUAACAGAGUUAGCUCAGUUCUUUCCAUUGCUCCCAAUAAACUGAUGAAAUUAUCCAUCUCAUAUCGCAUUCCCUCUAUUCUAUAUUCUGCUUUUUAAAAAAUUCACAUCUGUUUUUCUAAUUCAAUAAGUUUUAUGAUAUCUAUAGUUGUACAACCUUCAUCACAACCUGACUUUACAUUUCUGGAAAUGUGUGGCCCCCAUCCCACACUGCAGCAAGAUGAAAAUUGAAAUUAACUGUUUCUCUUCCAUGUUGGAGGAAGACCCAACCGGAAAAACAAGACAGCCCUUCGACAGCUGGCAGGGUUUCUCACCUCUGCUCUAGGAAGUUUUGGGGCUGGGUACUCCCCCUCCCUGGGGGCCGUCUUGUCAUCAUGGAAUGUUUAGCAGCCUCCCAGGCCCCACACACUAGAGGCCAGUAGCACUCAUCGAGGGUGACAACCCAUAUGCCUCCAGACCUUGUCAAAGGCACCCUCGAGGACAAAAUCACCCCCAGCUGAAAACCACUGUUAAUUACCUGAGGGAUGCCUAUUUGCAGCACUACCCCCAGAAAGGAGGCUUGAAAGUCUUGGAGUAAAGAGCUGGGCCCUUAACCAUGUAAUCGGAUCCUCUUCGAUUCAUGGGCAGGACUGAGCCAGGCAAGUCUUGGCAAAGGCAACCUCGAAGGACCAACCAGGGGAGGCGCUUGGGUAAUUUGGAAAGUGAUUGAAAGACUGGAAGGUCACUCUGGUGCAUGUGUUAAGACCCCUGCCCCCAAGUGGUGGGAGUUGACUGUGUGGUCCUGGCUGAUUUCCAGCCCAGGUGACUGCGGGCUAAACGUCUUAGUUUUCCUUCCAAUUCCCGUUGCACCUGGUACCUUUCUUCUGUUCUAUGCCACAGAACUAAGCCAUAAUUAUUCUCUUAGCUUCCAGCGAUUAGUUAGGAGAUAUUAAUCUGCGAUUUGGUUUUCACAUUGAAGUCGGCGAAGUGCUGGAGGAUGAACUUGGGUUUCCCGUUUUGGUUCUGGGGGAUGUAAUGGUGGAAAGAGAAAGUGCCUUUGCUUAGUCUUGCCAGAAGAGAAAAACUAUUUCUUAAAUCUGCACAGGGAUUCCUUAGAUGAAGACCAGUCCUAGAGGAACUGAGAUGAAGUCAGAUCACAGUGUCCAGGACUUUGCUAUCUGAACACAGUUGAAGGACCUAGUGUCCUUAUGUUAAUAACUUCCCUCAACUUGCCUCUGAUGGGAUUUCCUGCUUACACCUGCCCUUUCAGGACAUUUCAUCAUUGUCCAGACUUUUCUCACUCCUUGUUCCCAUUUAAACUGCCAGCCCUGGGAGUCAACUGGUGGCUCAGUAGGCUUAAGGAUCUGGCGUUGUCACUGAUGUGGCUUGGGUCAUUGCUAUACCACGAGUUUGAUACCUGGCCCAGGGAACUUCUGCAUCCUGUGGGCACAGCCAAAAAAAAGAUUUAAGUAACAAAGAAAUAGCCUAUAUUUUAGCCCCAGUAAAGGCUUGGGCUCCGUGCAGCAACAGUGGGUGGAUAAACCCAGGGGGGUUGGGAUGGAGGUGGGGGGUUUGGCCAGUGUAUUCUGGUUUGUCCAAGACUUGCUGGAUUUUAGCACUCAAAGUCUGGGUCCCAAGAAAUCCCUUAGUCCUGGGCAAACCGGGAAGAUUGGUUACCUUAAUUCAUUGAAGGCAACCUCAAUAUUCCACCUCCUGUGAUCUCAGCCUUCUCCUAACACGUCUCCCCGCAGUUAAGUCAGGAAGCGAUUUUGCAGC
rnacentral:lncRNA from 1 species